rnacentral:rRNA from 2 species
AAUACAUGCAAGUCGAACGAGUUCUGAUUAUUGAAAGGUGCUUGCAUCUUGAUUUAAUUUUGAACGAGUGGCGGACGGGUGAGUAACACGUGGGUAACCUGCCCUUAAGUGGGGGAUAACAUUUGGAAACAGAUGCUAAUACCGCAUAAAUCCAAGAACCGCAUGGUUCUUGGCUGAAAGAUGGCGUAAGCUAUCGCUUUUGGAUGGACCCGCGGCGUAUUAGCUAGUUGGUGAGGUAACGGCUCACCAAGGCAAUGAUACGUAGCCGAACUGAGAGGUUGAUCGGCCACAUUGGGACUGAGACACGGCCCAAACUCCUACGGGAGGCAGCAGUAGGGAAUCUUCCACAAUGGACGCAAGUCUGAUGGAGCAACGCCGCGUGAGUGAAGAAGGCUUUCGGGUCGUAAAACUCUGUUGUUGGAGAAGAAUGGUCGGCAGAGUAACUGU